GACAGAGGGGGCAAGCGUUGCUCGGAAUUACUGGGCGUAAAGGGCGCGUAGGCGGUCCGAUAAGUCCCGUGUGAAAUCCCUCGGCUCAACUGAGGAAUGGCACGGGAAACUGACGGGCUUGAGUUCGGGAGAGGGAAGCGGAAUUCCGGGUGUAGCGGUGAAAUGCGUAGAUAUCCGGAGGAACACCGGUGGCGAAGGCGGCUUCCUGGACCGACACUGACGCUGAGGCGCGAAAGCUAGGGGAGCAAACGGG
rnacentral:rRNA from 1 species